GACGAAUGCUGGCGGCGUGCCUAACACAUGCAAGUCGAACGGACGAGGAGGAGCUUGCUUCUCCAAGUCAGUGGCGGACGGGUGAGUAACGCGUGAGUAACCUGCCCUUCAGAGGGGGAUAACGUCUGGAAACGGACGCUAAUACCGCAUGACAUAUUUCCAUCGCAUGGUGGAGAUAUCAAAGGAGCAAUCCGCUGAAGGAUGGACUCGCGUCCGAUUAGAUAGUUGGCGGGGUAACGGCCCACCAAGUCGACGAUCGGUAGCCGGACUGAGAGGUUGAACGGCCACAUUGGGACUGAGACACGGCCCAGACUCCUACGGGAGGCAGCAGUGGGGGAUAUUGCACAAUGGGCGAAAGCCUGAUGCAGCAACGCCGCGUGAGGGAAGACGGUUUUCGGAUUGUAAACCUCUGUUCUAAGUGACGAACAAAUGACGGUAGCUUAGGAGAAAGCCCCGGCUAACUACGUGCCAGCAGCCGCGGUAAUACGUAGGGGGCAAGCGUUGUCCGGAAUUACUGGGUGUAAAGGGAGCGCAGGCGGAGAAGCAAGUCAGUGGUGAAAACGAUGGGCUUAACUCAUCGACUGCCAUUGAAACUGUUUCCCUUGAGUGAAGUAGAGGCAGGCGGAAUUCCGAGUGUAGCGGUGAAAUGCGUAGAUAUUCGGAGGAACACCAGUGGC
rnacentral:rRNA from 1 species